AAACAAAAGUAACCUGCCCUUGACUUUGGGAUAACUUCAGGAAACUGGGGCUAAUACCGGAUAGGAGCUCCUGCUGCAUGGUGGGGGUUGGAAAGUUUCGGCGGUUGGGGAUGGACUCGCGGCUUAUCAGCUUGUUGUUGGGGUAGUGGCUUACCAAGGAUUUGACGGGUAGCCGGCCUGAGAGGGUUACCGGCCACAUUGGGACUGAGAUACGGCCCAGACUCCUACGGGAGGCAGGAGUGGGGAAUAUUGCACAAUGGGCGGAAGCCUGAUGCUGCAACGCAGCGUGCGGGAUCACCCCCCUAGAUUUACACUCGUU
rnacentral:rRNA from 1 species